ensembl:lncRNA
CCACUACCACCACCACGUCCUAGAAGUCCCAGGUGGGCUUCACCUUCUGGGCAACUCCCAUCUGAGACCUCCUAAGGGACUGUGCCUCCCUCAGUCCCCAGGAACUGGAGCCCAGCGACAGCCAACAGAACACAGACUGUCUGCUGCCCCUUGAAGCACAAAGGAAGUCAGUCCCUUGAGGUUUUUCUAGGAAUGUGUCCUGUGAACAAUCAAGGGAAAUGAAGGAGUAAAACAAAUAAGGGAGGGAAAGAAACCUACAGAGACAUCAGGGGAGGCUGUCUGUUGGCAGGGGACAGCUCAGAUUGAAAACACAGUUCCGCAGACUGAAUCCUUUUGAAAGAUGUGGGACGUGUCUUCACACAGGGAUUCAAGCAGGCCCUCAUUCUGUCAUUCUCCACCCCUAUAAUCAUUGCACAAACAUUUGCCAAGUGCCUAUUAGUUGCCAUAAUUAUUAUUAGCAUAAGGCAUUAUUAGCAUAUGGUAUUAUGCUAAUCAGGGUGUUGGUCCGGGCUGCAAUUGUCAAAGUAAUUUACAGAAAUUAACUUCCUUUUGGAGUUCCGUUGGGGCUCAGCAGGUUAAGAACCCAAUUAGUAUCCACAAGGAUGUGGAUCCGAUCCUUGGCCUUGCUCAGUGGGUUAAGGAUCUGGCAUUGCCGCAAGCUGUGGUAUAGGUCACAGACCUUGUGGCAAUGUCAGAUCCUUAACCCACUGAGCAAGGCCAGAGAUUGAACCUCCAUCCUCACAGACGCUAUGUCAGUUUCUUCAGCUGCUGAGCCACAAUAAGAACUCAUGAGGUCCUUGUGUUUUUUGCCAGCUCCCGGCCCAGGACCACCCUCAGCUCCUAGGGUUUGCCCACAGUUCCUUGCUUUUCGGCCCCAUAGGAAGUUCACAAUGCAGCUGUUUGCUUUCUUCCAGGCCAGCUGGAGCACAGCUCCACGACUUUCUUUUCUGCUACUGGUCAGACAGAACUCUCUUAUGUUUUAAAAACCUCAUGUGAUUAAUUCAGGGCCACUCAGAAACAUCUCCUUAUUCUAAGGUCAACUGAUUUGGGACCUUAAUUAGACUUGGAAAAUCCCUUCAUUGCCACACCUUGAGUGGUGUUUGAUUAAUAACUAGGAGAAAGUGGCAUAUGCCAGAGGGCAGGGAUUUUGGAGAUCCAUCUUAGAAUUCUGCCUAAUGCAGUGAUUUUUAGCAAAUGGGGAAGAUGAGUAAGAUCAAUUUAGGAAGAGGAAAUAGGAUGAGCUAGUAGAGGAUUCCGACUGUAAGACACUGUUAGAAAAUGAAGAUAGAGGAGUACCCCCUGUGACUCAGUGGGUUAAGAAUCCAACCGCAGCGGCUCAGAUCACUGCAGAGGUACAGAUUCCAUCCUUGCAUGGCGCAGUGGGUUAAAGGAUUCAACAUUGCUGCAGCUGUGGCUCGGAUUCCAUCCUUAUACAGGUGUAGCCAUAAAAAAAAAAAAAAAAAAAAAAAAAAAAAAAAAGAAGAAAAGAAAAUGAAGAUAGAAAACAUGGUAGGCUAGAUUCUGGAGAAAUCUGCAAGUCAAAAAAAAAAAACCCUGAGAUGCUAGAGAAACUAUUAAAAGUAUGUUUUUAUGAAGGCUGAGCUGCCCCUCUGAGGCAGAAACAAUUGAAAAAGUGUGAGUCCAGAAAAGUGUGAGCAGGAGCCAGAGUUUGCCUUGGAGCUCUCUAUUCAUUCUGGCCAAGUGGACUGGAAACAAAACCUAGGCUGAAGCAGAAUGUGAGAUCAGAUUGC